rnacentral:rRNA from 1 species
GGUUAAGCGACUAAGCGUACACGGUGGAUGCCCUGGCAGUCAGAGGCGAUGAAGGACGUGCUAAUCUGCGAAAAGCGCCGGCGAGGUGAUAUGAACCUUUGACCCGGCGAUGUCCGAAUGGGGAAACCCAGUGUGUUCCGACACACUAUCGUUAACUGAAUACAUAGGUUAACGAGGCGAACCGGGGGAACUGAAACAUCUAAGUACCCCGAGGAAAAGAAAUCAACCGAGAUUCCCCCAGUAGCGGCGAGCGAACGGGGAGCAGCCCAGAGUCUGAAUCAGCUUGUGUGUUAGUGGAAGCGUCUGGAAAGUCGCACGGUACAGGGUGACAGUCCCGUACACGAAAAUGCACAGGCUGUGAACUCGAAGAGUAGGGCGGGACACGUGGUAUCCUGUCUGAAUAUGGGGGGACCAUCCUCCAAGGCUAAAUACUCCUGACUGACCGAUAGUGAACCAGUACCGUGAGGGAAAGGCGAAAAGAACCCCGGCGAGGGGAGUGAAAAAGAACCUGAAACCGUGUACGUACAAGCAGUGGGAGCCUCUUUUAUGGGGUGACUGCGUACCUUUUGUAUAAUGGGUCAGCGACUUAUAUUCUGUAGCAAGGUUAACCGUAUAGGGGAGCCGAAGGGAAACCGAGUCUUAACUGGGCGUUAAGUUGCAGGGUAUAGACCCGAAACCCGGUGAUCUAGCCAUGGGCAGGUUGAAGGUUGGGUAACACUAACUGGAGGACCGAACCGACUAAUGUUGAAAAAUUAGCGGAUGACUUGUGGCUGGGGGUGAAAGGCCAAUCAAACCGGGAGAUAGCUGGUUCUCCCCGAAAGCUAUUUAGGUAGCGCCUCGUGAACUCAUCUUCGGGGGUAGAGCACUGUUUCGGCUAGGGGGCCAUCCCGGCUUACCAACCCGAUGCAAACUACGAAUACCGAAGAAUGUUAUCACGGGAGACACACGGCGGGUGCUAACGUCCGUCGUGAAGAGGGAAACAACCCAGACCGCCAGCUAAGGUCCCAAAGUCAUGGUUAAGUGGGAAACGAUGUGGGAAGGCACAGACAGCCAGGAUGUUGGCUUAGAAGCAGCCAUCAUUUAAAGAAAGCGUAAUAGCUCACUGGUCGAGUCGGCCUGCGCGGAAGAUGUAACGGGGCUAAACCAUGCACCGAAGCUGCGGCAGCGACGCUUAUGCGUUGUUGGGUAGGGGAGCGUUCUGUAAGCCGUUGAAGGUGUCCUGUGAGGGGUGCUGGAGGUAUCAGAAGUGCGAAUGCUGACAUAAGUAACGAUAAAGCGGGUGAAAAGCCCGCUCGCCGGAAGACCAAGGGUUCCUGUCCAACGUUAAUCGGGGCAGGGUGAGUCGACCCCUAAGGCGAGGCCGAAAGGCGUAGUCGAUGGGAAACAGGUUAAUAUUCCUGUACUUGGUGUUACUGCGAAGGGGGGACGGAGAAGGCUAUGUUAGCCGGGCGACGGUUGUCCCGGUUUAAGCAUGUAGGCGGAGGUUCCAGGUAAAUCCGGUUCCUUAUUAACGCUGAGGUGUGAUGACGAGGCACUACGGUGCUGAAGUAACAAAUGCCCUGCUUCCAGGAAAAGCCUCUAAGCAUCAGGUAACAUCAAAUCGUACCCCAAACCGACACAGGUGGUCAGGUAGAGAAUACCAAGGCGCUUGAGAGAACUCGGGUGAAGGAACUAGGCAAAAUGGUGCCGUAACUUCGGGAGAAGGCACGCUGAUAUGUAGGUGAAGCCCCUGCGGGUGGAGCUGAAAUCAGUCGAAGAUACCAGCUGGCUGCAACUGUUUAUUAAAAACACAGCACUGUGCAAACACGAAAGUGGACGUAUACGGUGUGACGCCUGCCCGGUGCCGGAAGGUUAAUUGAUGGGGUUAGCGGCAACGCGAAGCUCUUGAUCGAAGCCCCGGUAAACGGCGGCCGUAACUAUAACGGUCCUAAGGUAGCGAAAUUCCUUGUCGGGUAAGUUCCGACCUGCACGAAUGGCGUAAUGAUGGCCAGGCUGUCUCCACCCGAGACUCAGUGAAAUUGAACUCGCUGUGAAGAUGCAGUGUACCCGCGGCAAGACGGAAAGACCCCGUGAACCUUUACUAUAGCUUGACACUGAACACUGGUCCUUGAUGUGUAGGAUAGGUGGGAGGCUUUGAAGCGUGGACGCCAGUCUGCGUGGAGCCAACCUUGAAAUACCACCCUUUAAUGGCUGGUGUUCUAACGUAGACCCGUGAUCCGGGUUGCGGACAGUGUCUGGUGGGUAGUUUGACUGGGGCGGUCUCCUCCCAAAGAGUAACGGAGGAGCACGAAGGUUAGCUAAUCCUGGUCGGACAUCAGGAGGUUAGUGCAAUGGCAUAAGCUAGCUUGACUGCGAGAGUGACGGCUCGAGCAGGUGCGAAAGCAGGUCAUAGUGAUCCGGUGGUUCUGAAUGGAAGGGCCAUCGCUCAACGGAUAAAAGGUACUCCGGGGAUAACAGGCUGAUACCGCCCAAGAGUUCAUAUCGACGGCGGUGUUUGGCACCUCGAUGUCGGCUCAUCACAUCCUGGGGCUGAAGUAGGUCCCAAGGGUAUGGCUGUUCGCCAUUUAAAGUGGUACGCGAGCUGGGUUUAGAACGUCGUGAGACAGUUCGGUCCCUAUCUGCCGUGGGCGCUGGAGAAUUGAGGGGGGCUGCUCCUAGUACGAGAGGACCGGAGUGGACGCAUCACUGGUGUUCGGGUUGUCAUGCCAAUGGCACUGCCCGGUAGCUAAAUGCGGAAGAGAUAAGUGCUGAAAGCAUCUAAGCACGAAACUUGCCCCGAGAUGAGUUCUCCCUGAGACUUUAAGUCUCCUGAAGGAACGUUGAAGACUACGACGUUGAUAGGUCGGGUGUGUAAGCGCAGCGAUGCGUUGAGCUAACCGAUACUAAUGAACCGUGAGGCUUAACCUU